GCGGGCGUAGUUCAAUGGUAGAACGGGAGUUUUCCAAACUCCUCACGGCGGUUCGAUUCCGCUCGCCCGCU
rnacentral:tRNA from 2 species